UUACAGCAGUGAGAGCGCUGCU
rnacentral:miRNA from 1 species